rnacentral:rRNA from 1 species
CCUACGGGAGGCAGCAGUGAGGAAUAUUGGUCAAUGGGCGGAAGCCUGAACCAGCCAAGUAGCGUGCAGGAUGACGGCCCUACGGGUUGUAAACUGCUUUUAUACGGGAAUAAAGAGCCUUACGUGUAGGGCUUUGCAUGUACCGUAUGAAUAAGGACCGGCUAAUUCCGUGCCAGCAGCCGCGGUAAUACGGAAGUUCCGGGCGUUAUCCGGAUUUAUUGGGUUUAAAGGGAGCGUAGGCCGCAUGUCAAGCGUGCUGUGAAAUGUCCGGGCUCAACCCGGGCAUUGCAGCGCGAACUGGUGUGCUUGAGUCCGCUGAGAGCAGGCGGAAUUCGUCGUGUAGCGGUGAAAUGCUUAGAUAUGACGAAGAACCCCGAUUGCGAAGGCAGCUUGCUGCAGCGGAACUGACGCUGAUGCUCGAAAGCGCGGGUAUCGAACAGGAUUAGAUACCCCAGUAGUC